AGGACGACGCUAUGGCUGAGCCUGGGCACAGCCACCAUCUCUCCGCCAGAGGCAGGGGAAGAACUGAGAGGCGCAUACCCCGGCUGUUGCGGCUGCUGCUCUGGGCUGGGACCGCCUUCCAGGUGACCCAGGGAACGGGACCGGAGCUUCACGCCUGCAAAGAGCCUUCUCCUGCAACGCCGGGGAGUUUCUGGAUAUGAAGAACCAGUCGUGUAAGCCAUGCGCUGAGGGCCGCUACUCCCUUGGCACAGGCAUUCGGUUUGAUGAGUGGGAUGAGCUGCCCCAUGGCUUUGCCAGCCUCUCAGCCAACAUGGAGCUGGAUGAAAGUGCUGCUGAGUCCACCGGGAACUGUACUUCGUCCAGGUGGGUUCCCCAGGGCGACUACAUCGCCUCCAACACGGACGAAUGCACAGCCACACUGAUGUACGCCGUCAACCUGAAGCAAUCCGGCACUGUUAACUUCGAAUACUACUAUCCAGACUCCAGCAUCAUCUUUGAGUUUUUCGUUCAGAAUGACCAGUGCCAGCCCAAUGCAGAUGACUCCAGGUGGAUGAAGACCACAGAGAAAGGAUGGGAAUUCCACAGUGUGGAGCUAAAUCGAGGCAAUAAUGUCCUCUAUUGGAGAACCACAGCCUUCUCAGUAUGGUCCAAAGUAUCCAAGCCUGUGCUGGUGAGAAACAUCGCCAUAACAGGGGUGGCCUACACUUCAGAAUGCUUCCCCUGCAAACCCGGCACGUAUGCAGACAAGCAGGGCUCCUCUUUCUGCAAACUUUGCCCAGCCAACUCUUAUUCAAAUAAAGGAGAAACUUCUUGCCACCAGUGUGACCCUGACAAAUACUCAGACACAGCUCAUGUACAAAUGGGCCAAGCCGAAAAUCUGUAGCGAGGACCUUGAGGGGGCAGUGAAGCUGCCUGCCUCUGGUGUGAAGACCCACUGCCCACCCUGCAACCCAGGCUUCUUCAAAACCAACAACAGCACCUGCCAGCCCUGCCCUUACGGUUCCUACUCCAAUGGCUCAGAUUGUACCCGCUGCCCUGCAGGGACUGAACCUGCUGUGGGAUUUGAAUACAAAUGGUGGAACACGCUGCCCACAAACAUGGAAACAACCGUUCUCAGUGGGAUCAACUUCGAGUACAAGGGCAUGACAGGCUGGGAGGUGGCUGGUGAUCACGUUUACACAGCUGCUGGAGCCUCAGACAAUGACUUCAUGAUUCUCACUCUGGUUGUGCCAGGAUUUAGACCUCCACAGUCGGUGAUGGCAGACACAGAGAAUAAAGAGGUGGCCAGAAUCACAUUUGUCUUUGAGACCCUCUGUUCUAUGAACUGUGAGCUCUACUUCAUGGUGGUACGUUUUCCUUUCUUUGCCCGCUAGAGGGCCUCCAGGGGAGGGUUAGCCCCAUCUGCCCCAUUGGUGUGUCCACGUGACUGACAGCCCCCUUGUAGUGAUUCCACAGAGGAAAGGCCCAGACUGACCAGCA
rnacentral:sRNA from 1 species